rnacentral:tRNA from 1 species
GCUUAAUAAUUUAUAGAAAAUACUUACCUUGAAAGUAAGAAAAGGAAUUAUUCCUUACGCUU